rnacentral:lncRNA from 1 species
AGUUGCCUUGUGAAAAAAAUAUGAAUUUAAAUAUGAACAACUUGGCAAGUGUCUGAAUUUUGAUCAUGUGACCAGGAGGAGUGUAAAAAAAGUCCCUUUUUUUUUAGUUCCAUUGUUAACUUUGAACGGUCACUAAAUGAAUUGCUGUAAAUUGAGGACUACCCGUAUUCUGUUCUGAGAUUUCUGAGGCAUCCUUUCUCUCCUCCCCGGGCUUCAUUUUGGGGUUAUAACCCCCAAAUAUUCGCGUUCUGCUUUCUGUUCCCCAACCUGCAGGCUGAUUACAAAAUCAGAGAUGCUCUUGGCAAUCAGCCGUUGCACCGAGCUGCGAUCACGGGACAGGACGAUGGGCUUCGGUUCCUUGUGUCUGAUCUUGGGGUUGAGGUCGACGAAGGCGCCACUGACCUCGGUCUCACUGCCCUGCAUUACGCAGCAAAGGAAGGGCACGAGGGCACGAUCCGAUGCCUACUUUCCUUGGGGGCUAACUUGCACGCGAAGGAUAAGAAGCACCGAACUGCGCUGCACAUGGCUUCUGCACGACAACACACACCGUGUGUGCAUUUCCUCCUGCAGGCAGGAUUAAAGGAUUCUCCAGACGAUGCCUGGACGUAUGCCAGGCAGCUGGCAAAGAAGACCGACCUUGUCCAACUCUUUGAAGACAACAGACUUUGUGGGAGUGAGCAUUAAAAAAAAAAACCCCGUACAUCUUUCCAACUGUUUUCUGGUAUGAUUUGCGAGCAAAAGCUUUCCGGAGACUCUUUCCCAAAAGGCUGCAGGGGGAGGAGUCUGUUAGUUGAUAGGGGAAUUCUGGGAGUUGAAGUCCACCCAUCUGAAAGAUUCUGAGGUUGAGACUCACCGGCCUAGCCGGUAUGGCGUACUGUGUGGGAAUCCAUGCUUUAUUCAGCCCUCCAUAUUAAUAAAGUCCUGCACAGCAUAAAUUUUGAUCA